rnacentral:rRNA from 1 species
GACGAACGCUGGCGGUGUGCUUAACACAUGCAAGUCGAACGGUAAGGCCCUUUCGGGGGUACACGAGUGGCGAACGGGUGAGUAACACGUGAGUAACCUGCCCUCAUCUCUGGGAUAACAGUCGGAAACGGUUGCUAAUACUGGAUAUGAGCUUGCAAGGCAUCUUGUGGGUUGGAAAGAUUUUUUUUGGUUGGGGAUGGACUCGCGGCCUAUCAGCUUGUUGGUGAGGGAGUGGCUCACCAAGGCUUCGACGGGUAGCCGGCCUGAGAGGGCGACCGGCCACAUUGGGACUGUGAUACGGCCCAAACUCCUACGGGGGGCAGCAGUGGGGAAUAUUGCACAAUGGACGGAAGUCUGAUGCAGCAACGCCGCGUGCGGGAUGACGGCCUUCGGGUUGUAAACCGCUUUCAAUUGUGACGAAGCUUUUUUGUGACGGUAGCAGUAGAAGAAGCACCGGCUAACUACGUG